AGAGUUUGAUCCUGGCUCAGAACGAACGCUGGCGGCGUGCCUAACACAUGCAAGUCGAACGGGGAUAAGUAGCUUGCUAUUUAUUCUAGUGGCGCACGGGUGAGUAACGCGUAGAUAAUCUGCCUUAGACUCUGGGAUAACAUCUCGAAAGGGGUGCUAAUACCGGAUAAGCCCACGGGGACGUGAGUUCUUGCGGGAAAAGGGGGCCUCUGCAUAUGCUCUUGAUCUAAGAUGAGUCUGCGUACCAUUAGCUUGUUGGUAGGGUAAUGGCCUACCAAGGCGACGAUGGUUAGCUGGUCUGAGAGGAUGAUCAGCCACACUGGGACUGAGACACGGCCCAGACUCCUACGGGAGGCAGCAGUGGGGAAUUUUGCGCAAUGGGGGAAACCCUGACGCAGCAACGCCGCGUGAGUGAUGAAGGCUUUCGGGUCGUAAAGCUCUGUCUAGAGGGAAGAAGUGAUAUUCGGUUAAUGCCCGGGUUUCUUGACGGUACCUCUGAAGGAAGCACCGGCUAACUCCGUGCCAGCAGCCGCGGUAAUA
rnacentral:rRNA from 1 species